UUCCAAAAUUAUUGUUAAGUGAAAAUAAGGUAGUGUUUAUCCAAGCCAACCAGGAAAUGGGCUUAGGAGCGGCCAUUUUUUAAAGACCUCGUAACAGAGCACUGGUUUUAUACAAUUUUGUAUGUAUUGUUAGAUGCACCUAAGAUUUAGCGGAUCUAAAUAAUAUACCGAGACCUUGUCCAUAAAUAUUUAUAUGUACAAGUUACAUAGAAUAUAUAUGGGGUAGCGGAACAUUGGGCAUAUCUCAGAUUUUUUCUUUUUAAGACUUAAGAUUAGAUUACCCAAGUGAUAAUGCUGACAUGAGUAACGAUAAAGGGUUUAUACCCUCGCCUAAAGCUUAUGGAAUUUACUUAAAGUAACGGCCUCUAAGUUUAAAUUUGCUAUAGUUUAAACAAACAACACUUGAUACCUAACUCUAACAGACGAUACAAGUGCAAAAUAGUAAACACCUAAUGGUAUAAACGAUGAGAAAAAGCUAAGUUUUACAGAUAUAAAUAGCAUGAGUGUUGCAGGUAGGUAUUAUAUAUAUAAUGGAUUUUUUUUUUAUUCUUUUUAUGCGUUAUUAUCCUUUGCACUAUUCUGGGUAUAUUGGUUGCUCUGGAUACAGGCGGAUGGCCCGAUAUUCGUCGGCGUUGGGCCUGGAUGGCAUCCACGCCCAAGGCCGACGCGUGUCGGGCCAUCCGCCUGUAUCCAGAGCAACCAAUAUACCAAAAUAGUGCAAGGGAUAAAAAGUAAAUAAAAUAAUUAAUAGAAACUAGAAAAAUUAUAGAUUUAAUAGUUAUUUUGUGCUAAAGUGACAAAUGCUCUGGAAAAAUGUAAAACUACUGACGUGUUAGAGAGUAGGCAAGGUUCAAUCCCUUGUCCAUUAAUAAGCGUAG
rnacentral:rRNA from 1 species